CGCAAGCCUGAUCCAGCAAUAUUGCGUGAGUGAAGAAGGGCAAUUCCGCUCGUAAAGCUCCUUUCGUCGAGUGCGCGAUCAUGACAUGACUCGAGGAAGAAGCCCCGGCUAACUCCGUGCCAGCAGCCGCGGUAAAACGGGGGGGCAAGUGUUCUUCGGAAUGACUAGGCGUAAAGGGCACGUAGGCGGUUCAUCGGGUUGAAAGUGAAAGUCGUCAAAAAAGUGGCGGAAUGCUUUCGAAACCACUGAACUUGAGUGAGACAGAGGAGAGUGGAAUUUCGUGUGGAGGGGUGAAAUCUACGGAUCUACGAAGGAACGCCAAAAGCGAAGGCAGCUCUCUGGGUCUCUACCGACGCUGGUGUGCGAAAGCAUGGGGAGCGAACGGGAUUAGAUACCCUGGUAGUCCAUGCCGUAAACGAUGAGUGUUCGCCCUUGGUCUAUUCUGAUCUGGGGCUCAGCUAACGCGUUAAACACUCCGCCUGGGGAGUACGGUCGCAAGACCG
rnacentral:rRNA from 1 species